rnacentral:rRNA from 1 species
AUUGAACGCUGGCGGCAUGCCUUACACAUGCAAGUCGAACGGUAACAGGUCUUCGGAUGCUGACGAGUGGCGAACGGGUGCGUAAUACAUCGGAACGUGCCCGGUCGUGGGGGAUAACGAGGCGAAAGCUUUGCUAAUACCGCAUACGAUCUACGGAUGAAAGCGGGGGAUCUUCGGACCUCGCGCGGCCGGAGCGGCCGAUGGCAGAUUAGGUAGUUGGUGGGAUAAAAGCUUACCAAGCCGACGAUCUGUAGCUGGUCUGAGAGGAUGAUCAGCCACACUGGGACUGAGACACGGCCCAGACUCCUACGGGAGGCAGCAGUGGGGAAUUUUGGACAAUGGGCGAAAGCCUGAUCCAGCCAUGCCGCGUGCAGGAUGAAGGCCUUCGGGUUGUAAACUGCUUUUGUACGGAACGAAAAGCCUCUUUCUAAUAAAGAGGGGUCAUGACGGUACCGUAAGAAUAAGCACCGGCUAACUACGUG